rnacentral:rRNA from 1 species
GAUGAACGCUAGCGGGAGGCCUAACACAUGCAAGCCGAGCGGUAUUUGUUCUUCGGAACAGAGAGAGCGGCGCACGGGUGCGGAACACGUGUGCAACCUGCCUUUAUCUGGGGGAUAGCCUUUCGAAAGGAAGAUUAAUACCCCAUAAUAUAUUGAGUGGCAUCAUUUGAUAUUGAAAACUCCGGUGGAUAGAGAUGGGCACGCGCAAGAUUAGAUAGUUGGUGAGGUAACGGCUCACCAAGUCAAUGAUCUUUAGGGGGCCUGAGAGGGUGAUCCCCCACACUGGUACUGAGACACGGACCAGACUCCUACGGGAGGCAGCAGUGAGGAAUAUUGGACAAUGGGUUAGCGCCUGAUCCAGCCAUCCCGCGUGAAGGACGACGGCCCUAUGGGUUGUAAACUUCUUUUGUAUAGGGAUAAACCUACUCUCGUGAGAGUAGCUGAGGGUACUAUACGAAUAAGCACCGGCUAACUCCGUG